rnacentral:rRNA from 1 species
UACGUAGGGUGCAAGCGUUGUCCGGAAUUAUUGGGCGUAAAGAGCUCGUAGGCGGCUUGUCGCGUCGGCUGUGAAAACCUGGGGCUCAACCCCGGGCCUGCAGCCGAUACGGGCAAGCUAGAAUUCGGUAGGGGAGACUGGAAUUCCUGGUGUAGCGGUGAAAUGCGCAGAUAUCAGGAGGAACACCGGUGGCGAAGGCGGGUCUCUGGGCCGAUAUUGACGCUGAGGAGCGAAAGCCAGGGGAGCAAACGGG